rnacentral:lncRNA from 7 species
AGCUGUAGCUUCCAGGAGUCUUGAAAGCAGUGGAGGAAGAAGGAUCGGACCAUGGUCCAGACAGCCACAGCUAAGAAAACAUGAGAGCCAAGGAGUUAAGCUCUGCUCUGCACUGAGCUUGUUCACAGUGCUGACCAGACAGAAAAUGUGAGCUGAUGUAGCAAGCUGAAAUGGCACAGCAGAGACCCCAAUAGGGAAAUACAAGAGCAAGGAGGAAUCAGACCAUAGAAACGCAUCUUCCAGUACUUUGAUUAUGGUUGGCUUUCAGAGAACCAGAUCAGCACUCAUCUGACAAGAUACAGGGAGGAGAUCUGCAUUAUUGCAGGGGUUGCUGUGUAUUGUGACUCUUCUGCCACUGCCAUCACAGUGUGCUUAUGCUGCAGGCAACUGGAAGAAAAGGCUUGAAAGAGGAAGCCCUCACAAGCACAAUGCCUGGAGGUCAGUGCCAUCCCCUUGGCAGGUACCCUUGCAGUUCUGCAGGCUUGAAGCUGCACCACACCAAGUGCCUGAGCCACUAAGAGACAAAGAAACUUUUGAAGCAGUACAUCUGUCCAUGUUGAGGGACUGAUCCUCCUCCGAGAUGUAAUGCACUUUGAGCAUACAGCUCCCUUCUGCAGUGUCCCAUUCUCCAUCCUAAAAAGCAUUUCAGCUUUUGACUGUACUUCUUUUCAUCUUACAAUUUUGCUGUUGUAAGAGCCUGAACCUCCCACUCUUUUCCAGCAAAUGCAUUUGUCUAAGUUUAUUAAUAGACAGUUUAUCUCCUUUUGUUCUUCUCUGUAUUUUGAUAGCUAAAACAAAAACCUCUUACCCUUUCCUGGCUGUACCAUUCCUCUGCUCCCAGUCAGCAGUUUUUUGCAGCUAUCCUCUGUGCAUGAGAGUUGCUCUAUACCAUUUAAUCAGACUACAUGAACUUGGGCAGCCUGUAGUGCUGGAGAGUAGUCUUCCCUGGUGUAUACAAUGGCAAAGUAUGAUGUUGAACCUUGUGUGGUAACUGUUGAGUC